rnacentral:misc_RNA from 1 species
GUGAGUUGGAUAUUGAUUAUUUUUAUAAUUUCAAUAUUAAUUAUAUAUCUGGCAUGCUCAUGUAUUGUAUAAAUAUUUAAUUAUGUACACAAAUAGGUAAUAUAUUAGGGGCAUUUUGGUUGUUGCAUGUUUAAUUGCUGUUAUUUGUUUAUGAUUGCCACCUUGAGGAUAAUUUGGAGCUGGGUGUGUCAUUUAUAUAUGGUAUAUAUGGAUAUGGAUUAGACGAGUAGUUGCAGCUUGAGCUAGCCUUGUUGGAACCCAGUCUUUAUGGACAUGGAAAGUCAGGCCGAGGCAUAAGUUUGAGUUAAUCUUGCUGGCCUCCGCACUUAGAUUUAAG